rnacentral:rRNA from 1 species
GACGGAGGGUGCUAGCGUUGUUCGGAAUCACUGGGCGUAAAGGGCGCGUAGGCGGCCUUGCAAGUCGGUUGGUGAAAGCCCGGGGCUCAACCCCGGAGGUGCGGCCGAGACUGCAGGGCUGGAGGCCGGAAGAGGAGGGUGGAAUACCCAGUGUAGAGGUGAAAUUCGUAGAUAUCGGGAAGAACACCCGUGGCGAAGGCGGUUCUCUGGGACGGUACUGACGCUGAGACGCGAAAGCGUGGGGAGCGAACAGG